rnacentral:rRNA from 1 species
UACGGAGGGUGCAAGCGUUAAUCGGAAUUACUGGGCGUAAAGCGUGCGCAGGCGGUUUGUUAAGUCUGCUGUGAAAUCCCCGAGCUCAACUUGGGAAUUGCAGUGGAUACUGGCAGGCUGGAGUAUGGUAGAGGAAGGUGGAAUUCCACGUGUAGCAGUGAAAUGCGUAGAGAUGUGGAGGAACACCGAUGGCGAAGGCAGCCCCCUGGGUUAACACUGACGCUCAGGCACGAAAGCGUGGGGAGCAAACAGG